rnacentral:tRNA from 1 species
ACUUAAGUAGUUUAAUAAUAAAAUAUUGAUUUGUGGUGUCAGUGAUAUAAUUCAUUUAUCUUAGGUU